rnacentral:ncRNA from 1 species
AUCCUGCUCAGUAAGAGAGGAGCCGCAGCUUCAGACAUGUGGUACCUUUGAGCGACUCUGCCAUCUGAGGGAUCAUGACUGAACAUCUCUAAGUAAGAAUCCC